UUUCCCUCAGUAGUGAUAAAACAGUGACGUGUGGGUAUGUGUCUCCGCAUAGCUUCCUUGUACGUGUUUCCGGGGACACGUGUAGACAAGAGGAGGCUUCUAAGGACACGGACAGACUGUGGGAGGAAGGACGCAGCAACAGGACAUUAGGAAGGAAGAAGAAAUGUGGGCACACACGGCUGGCCUGGCAUGGUGGUGUUGGUGGCACAGGGAGUGUGUUGCAUGGCACUCACUGAGGAGAUGAGCCUUGAGUGUCGAUCCUGCAGCACACGUGUCUUUGGUGGAACAUGUGGUACGCUAAGGUGGUCGACAUUCUAAGUUACGUCAGGGUCACCGGAGAGCUAGCAACGUCAGGGUCACCGGAGAGCUAGCAACGUCAGGGUCACCGGAGAGCUAGCAUCCCUGGCGUCACAUCCUGUUUACUGGUGCCGCCACUCGGAUUUUUUGUUAGAGACUUGUUUACCUGGUGACGAAACACAUCUGUUCGUCUCUCUCUCUCUCUCUCUCUCUCUCUCUCUCUCUCUCUCUCUCUCUCUCUCUCUCUCUCUCUCUCUCUCUCUCUCUCUCUCUCUCUCUCUCUCUCUCUCUCUCUGUGUGUGUGUGUGUGUGUGUGUGUGUGUGUGUGUGUGUGUGUGUGUGUGUGUGUGUGUGUGUGUGUGUGUGUGUGUGUGUGUGUGUGUGUGUGUGGGGGGGUUUCGGUUCGUCAUUCUAUUCGUUUUUCUUUCUGUCGGUUCGUCUAUCUAUCUAUCGGCCUGUUUGUGUGUAUGUAUGUGUGUUUCUCUGUCUGUCCGUCUCUCUCUCUCUCUCUCUCUCUCUCUCUCUCUCUCUCUCUCUCUCUCUCUCUCUCUCUCUCUCUCUCUCUCUCUCUCUCUCUCUCUCUCUCUCUCUCUCUCUCUCCACACUUAGAUUAUGUUAUUAGAUAGAAAUAAGGGAAGUUUCAGAGAAAUUUUUCCUUUUGAACCAUGACAAUUUGAAUUUUUUUCCUUCCAUAUUUUUAUUUUUUCCAGUGGUCAGGUAAUGAUAGGUUUCCUGUUAUUUUCCUCCAUUUCGUUCACCCCCACACUAUCCGGUUGCCCAGUCCUGUUACUUUAGUUUAGUAUUGUAUGUUUUAUCCGUGUCCAUACUGGUGGCGAGGAACGGCGGAAGUGACACGUAGAGAUGGAAAUGGGUGUGGUG